UUUUGAGAGCUUUUGAUUUUUGUAUUACCUAUCAUAUUUAUCCUAAUUUACAAUUUAUUCUAAUUGGCCAUUGAGUGGGCCAGUAUGGUUUUCUCCUGGUGAGGAUGAACAUUAGUGAUAUUUGUUCAGAAGAAGAGGUGUGAAGGGAGGAAAAGCCCAAGUUCUAAUUGUGGAGCCACUGAUCUUGGGAAAGGCACUUCAUCAUUUUACUUAUAAGAAGAGAAUGAUAUUGUCUAAUUGACAGUUUUUUCUAAACUAUAGGCUGGGGAAUCCAAGAGAUUAAAAAAAUUUCUAGAAUAAAAAAAUUUUAAGGAUUUUCUACUAUCUUAUUCAUAGAAUAAAUUCUACUUGCAUUCCUUGAGCUCAAAUCUUAUUUCAGGCAGUAAAAGUCAAUUAUAUGUGGUUAUGAGAUCAUCUGUAUGUGUAAAGGCAGAUUUUGGCUUAUGUUAAUGAAGGUCAUGGGUAUAGUAGUCAGGAAAUGUAGUGGUGUUUAUAAUUAUAAAGAGACUAACUGCAUUUUAAUUAUGAUUUUAGAAGUUUUCUUUGGACCUGA
rnacentral:lncRNA from 1 species